rnacentral:rRNA from 1 species
UAGAGUUUGAUCCUGGCUCAGGAUGAACGCUGGCGGCGUGCUUAACACAUGCAAGUCGAACGGUGAAGCAGAGCUUGCUCUGUGGAUCAGUGGCGAACGGGUGAGUAACACGUGAGCAACCUGCCCCUGACUCUGGGAUAAGCGCUGGAAACGGCGUCUAAUACCGGAUAUGAGCUGCGAUCGCAUGGUCAGCAGUUGGAAAGAUUUUUCGGUCUGGGAUGGGCUCACGGCCUAUCAGCUUGUUGGUGAGGUAAUGGCUCACCAAGGCGUCGACGGGUAGCCGGCCUGAGAGGGUGACCGGCCACACUGGGACUGAGACACGGCCCAGACUCCUACGGGAGGCAGCAGUGGGGAAUAUUGCACAAUGGGCGAAAGCCUGAUGCAGCAACGCCGCGUGAGGGAUGACGGCCUUCGGGUUGUAAACCUCUUUUAGCAGGGAAGAAGCGAAAGUGACGGUACCUGCAGAAAAAGCGCCGGCUAACUACGUGCCAGCAGCCGCGGUAAUACGUAGGGCGCAAGCGUUAUCCGGAAUUAUUGGGCGUAAAGAGCUCGUAGGCGGUUUGUCGCGUCUGCUGUGAAAUCCCGAGGCUCAACCUCGGGUCUGCAGUGGGUACGGGCAGACUAGAGUGCGGUAGGGGAGAUUGGAAUUCCUGGUGUAGCGGUGGAAUGCGCAGAUAUCAGGAGGAACACCGAUGGCGAAGGCAGAUCUCUGGGCCGUUACUGACGCUGAGGAGCGAAAGGGUGGGGAGCAAACAGGCUUAGAUACCCUGGUAGUCCACCCCGUAAACGUUGGGAACUAGUUGUGGGGUCCAUUCCACGGGAUUCCGUGACGCAGCUAACGCAUUAAGUUCCCCGCCUGGGGAGUACG